rnacentral:rRNA from 1 species
AACGAACGCUGGCGGCAUGCCUAACACAUGCAAGUCGAACGAGACCUUCGGGUAUACUGGCGAACGGGUGCGUCACGUGUUGGACUCUGCCCUUAGGUUCGGAAUAACUCUCCGACUUUGGUGCUAAUAUCGUAUAAUGUCUUCUGACCAAAGAUUUAUCGCCUUUGGUUGGGCCCGCGUGGGAUUAGCUCGUUGGUAGUGUAAAAGCCUACCACGGCUACGAUCCAUAGCUGGUCUGAGAGGAUGAUCAGCCACACUGAGGCUGAGACACGGUCCAGACUCAGGCGGGAGGCAGAAGUGGGGAAGAAUGGAAAAUGGGCGGGAGACUGAUGGAGUGACGGCGCGAAAAGGAUGAUGGUGUGAGGGUUGUAAAGCUCCUUUACCCGGGAUGAUAAUGACAGUACCAGGAGAAUAAGCUCCGGCUAACUCCGUG